rnacentral:rRNA from 2 species
UUCUCUUGAGAGCGGCGGACGGGUGAGUAAUGCCUAGGAAUCUGCCUGGUAGUGGGGGAUAACGUUCGGAAACGGACGCUAAUACCGCAUACGUCCUACGGGAGAAAGCAGGGGACCUUCGGGCCUUGCGCUAUCAGAUGAGCCUAGGUCGGAUUAGCUAGUUGGUGGGGUAAUGGCUCACCAAGGCGACGAUCCGUAACUGGUCUGAGAGGAUGAUCAGUCACACUGGAACUGAGACACGGUCCAGACUCCUACGGGAGGCAGCAGUGGGGAAUAUUGGACAAUGGGCGAAAGCCUGAUCCAGCCAUGCCGCGUGUGUGAAGAAGGUCUUCGGAUUGUAAAGCACUUUAAGUUGGGAGGAAGGGUUGUAAAUUAAUACUCUGCAAUUUUGACGUUACCGACAGAAUAAGCACCGGCUAACUCUGUGCCAGCAGCCGCGGUAAUACAGAGGGUGCAAGCGUUAAUCGGAAUUACUGGGCGUAAAGCGCGCGUAGGUGGUUUGUUAAGUUGGAUGUGAAAUCCCCGGGCUCAACCUGGGAACUGCAUUCAAAACUGACUGACUAGAGUAUGGUAGAGGGUGGUGGAAUUUCCUGUGUAGCGGUGAAAUGCGUAGAUAUAGGAAGGAACACCAGUGGCGAAGGCGACCACCUGGACUAAUACUGACACUGAGGUGCGAAAGCGUGGGGAGCAAACAGGAUUAGAUACCCUGGUAGUCCACGCCGUAAACGAUGUCAACUA